rnacentral:rRNA from 1 species
AGGGAAUAUUGGACAAUGGGCGCAAGCCUGAUCCAGCCAUGCCGCGUGAGUGAAGAAGGCCUUCGGGUUGUAAGCUCUUUUGUCCGGAAAGAAAAGCAUCCAGUUAAUACCAGGGUGUCCUGACGGUACCGGAAGAAUAAGCACCGGCUAACUUCGUGCCAGCAGCCGCGGUAAUACGAAGGGUGCAAGCGUUACUCGGAAUUACUGGGCGUAAAGCGUGCGUAGGUGGUUUGUUAAGUCUGAUGUGAAAGCCCUGGGCUCAACCUGGGAAUGGCAUUGGAUACUGGCAGGCUAGAGUGCGGUAGAGGGCAGUGGAAUUCCCGGUGUAGCAGUGAAAUGCGUAGAGAUCGGGAGGAACAUCUGUGGCGAAGGCGACUGCCUGGACCAGCACUGACACUGAGGCACGAAAGCGUGGGGAGCAAAC